rnacentral:rRNA from 1 species
CCUACGGGCGGCAGCAGUGAGGAAUAUUGGUCAAUGGACGAGAGUCUGAACCAGCCAAGUAGCGUGAAGGAUGACUGCCCUAUGGGUUGUAAACUUCCUUUAUAUGGGAAUAAAAUGUUCCACGUGUGGGAUUUUGUAUGUACCAUAUGAAUAAGGAUCGGCUAACUCCGUGCCAGCAGCCGCGGUAAUACGGAGGAUCCGAGCGUUAUCCGGAUUUAUUGGGUUUAAAGGGAGCGUAGGUGGAUUGUUAAGUCAGUUGUGAAAGUUUGCGGCUCAACCGUAAAAUUGCAGUUGAAACUGGCAGUCUUGAGUACAGUAGAGGUGGGCGGAAUUCGUGGUGUAGCGGUGAAAUGCUUAGAUAUCACGAAGAACUCCGAUUGCGAAGGCAGUUCACUGGACUGCAACUGACACUGAGGCUCGAAAGUGUGGGUAUCAAACAGGAUUAGAUACCCGGGUAGUC